rnacentral:rRNA from 1 species
UACGUAGGGGGCAAGCGUUUGUCCGGAUUUAUUGGGCGUAAAGAGCGUGUAGGCGGUUAUACAGGUCCGCUGUGAAAACUGGAGGCUCAACUUCCAGACGUCGACGGAAACCGUGUGGCUAGAGUCCGGAAGAGGAGAGUGGAAUUCCUGGUGUAGCGGUGAAAUGCGUAGAUAUCAGGAGGAACACCGGUGGUGUAAACGGCUUUCUGGACCGUAACUGACGCUGAGGCACGAAAGCGUGGGUAGCAAACAGG